rnacentral:rRNA from 1 species
UACGAAGGGGGCUAGCGUUGCUCGGAAUCACUGGGCGUAAAGCGCACGUAGGCGGGUCUCUAAGUCAGGGGUGAAAUCCUGGAGCUCAACUCCAGAACUGCCUUUGAUACUGGGGAUCUCGAGUCCGGGAGAGGUGAGUGGAACUCCGAGUGUAGAGGUGAAAUUCGUAGAUAUUCGGAAGAACACCAGUGGCGAAGACGGCUCACUGGCCCGGUACUGACGCUGAGGUGCGAAAGCGUGGGGAGCAAACAGG